GCACAUCUUUCUGCAUUGAGUUGCCUUGACUGCUGCAAAAUUAAGUACCUGAUGUUCUUUCAGAUAAACCUUGGUGACAUUAGUAAAGUGCUUCAUUUUUAGGAAUGCAUUUUCUUCGGACUGAGUUCAUUUUAUUCACAAUGCCCCACUUGAAAGCAGUUCUAGUUCAAGUGAAACUCCUUUAAAAUAGGCUUCCACAUGAAGUUCCUUACCUACAGAUGUUAUAACGAACAGUACUAUUUGGGAGUGUUAUUCACUUUAUCCAAAGGAGGGUUUUAUGGAAUUGUUUCACUUGUGGACAGCUGGCAAUUUUUGCUUCAUCAUACUGAAUGACAGACAUCGUCUUUACAGGUCUACCUCCUCUGAUCCCUACCACUCUCAGUGUCUAAAGGAAGGACAGUCCUUCAUCUGGUAUUCCUGCUUCUCUACACUGGAGCCUAAAAGUACCUCAAUAAAUAUUCAUCAAUGAAUGAAGUACUUCACAUUUUUUAAUAUAAAUAUCUAUGGCUAAGACAAAUCCUAAAACUGUAACUUAAUAGAAUCAUAAUUAAAUU